UUAUUUCUUUUCAUAUGUACAAACCUAAGGCAGUACCAAAAUACGCUUAUCACUCAUCACCCAAGAAAAAUAGACAG